GCCUCUCACCUGUGACACCGGGAGGCAAGGGCAGCUGCACGGUGACUGGGCGGAGAAAGCCGGGGGGACCGCGCUGGGAGAGGCCCAGCAGGGGGCUCGCGGCGGCCUCGGCCUCCCCCAGCAGGGCCCGCAGCUCUCGGGCCGGCGUCUGCACCACCUGGGGCGGGCGGGUCCACACGCUUGCCUGCGGUGCGCUGCGUGAGGCGCCACCCGCCGCCCUGCCGGCCGCCUGGCCUGUACCUGCAUGUGGACCGGACGAGGCUCUUCGGUGGCUCCAGGAGGGAAUGUGACCUUGACCCCAGGAUGCCCCGAGGACCACAGCAACUUCCCCUCCGGUGGCACCAGGCAGGCGUUGGACACAGGGCGUGAAACCACAAGGAACCACGAGAAGUGGGUCUCCAGGUCACUCCAGCUGUGGCCACUCCGGGUCCUCACCACCACCUCCCGGCAGCGCCGGGCCCGCGGCGGCACAAAGAGCAGCCACAGGCCGAUGUCCUGCGGGGUGAGGGCGGGUCAGCUCCUGGCCCAGCCGGGCCCCUCUGCACCCGCCCUGCCCGCUCCGGCCGUGCCUGCUGGAAGGCCACCCCGUGGGGCUGCAGCUCCAGGACAGCACUGAGCAGGGAGUCGUGGGGACCCAGGGGGACGAGGCGCGGCUCCGGCGGCCACAGGCGAUAGCGGAUGCCAGCCCAGGGUGUGCUCUCCGGCCCUGCAGGGACUGGGCGCCAGCUAGAACGAUCCUACGACGCAGGUCGGUGGCCCAGCAAACAGGAGGCCUGCCCGCGUGCUGCCUCCUUCCACCUGCGUUCCCAUCUCACCAGGGAGGAAGAGGAGGCUCCAAGAGAUCAGUUUGCCCAAGGCCACGCAGGUGGUGCCGGCCCGAGACCCUCACACCAGAGAGCCUCCCCACCGGUGCUCCUUCA